rnacentral:rRNA from 1 species
AUUGAACGCUGGCGGCAGGCCUAACACAUGCAAGUCGAGCGAGCGGCGGACGGGUGAGUAAUGUAUGGGGACUGCCCGAUAGAGGGGGAUAACUACUGGAAACGGUGGCUACUACCGCAUACUAUCGGAUAACCCAUAUGGGAGUAGCUAGUGGGUGGGGUAAAGGCUCACCUAGGCGACGAUCGCUAGCUGGUCUGAGAGGAUGAUCCGCCACACUGAGACGGAGACACUGCCCCUACUCCUACGGAGGCAGCAGUGGGGAAGAUUGCACAAUGGGUGCAAGCCCUAUGCAGCCAUGCCGGUUGUAUGAAGAAGGCCUUAGGGUUGUAAAGGACUUUCAUCGGGGAGGCGUUGCCCGCAGAAGAAGGACCGGCGAACUCCGUGCCAGCAGGCGCAGUAAUAC